rnacentral:rRNA from 1 species
UACGAGAGGCCCAAACGUUAUUCGGAAUUACUGGGCUUAAAGAGUUCGUAGGCGGCGCAGAAAGUAGGGUGUGAAAGCCCUCGGCUCAACCUAGGAAUUGCGCUCUAAACUACUGUGCUUGAGGGACCUAGAGGUGAGCGGAACUGAUGGUGGAGCGGUGAAAUGCGUUGAUAUCAUCAGGAACACCGGAGGCGAAGGCGGCUCACUGGGGGUCUUCUGACGCUGAGGAACGAAAGCCAGGGGAGCGAACGGG